AGGAGCUGGAGCACCAGAAGGUGGAAAGGCAGCAGCUUUUGGAAGACUUGAGGGAGAAGCAGCAAGAGGUCUUGCAUUUCAGGGAGGAACGCCUUUCCCUCCAGGAAAACGACUCCAGACUGCAGCACAAGCUGGUUCUCCUGCAGCAACAGUGUGAAGAGAAACAGCAGCUCUUUGAGUCCCUCCAGUCAGAGUUACAAAUCUAUGAGGCACUUUAUGGCAAUUCCAAGAAGGGGCUGAAAGAUUCAGCUGUGUCCCCUCCAGUCCGGGAUGUUGGUAUGAAUUCCCCAGCUCUGGUCCUCCCCAGCUCUGCUUCCUCUACUCCUGGCUCAGAAACG
rnacentral:lncRNA from 1 species